GACGUAGGGCGCAAGCGUUGUCCGGAUUUAUUGGGCGUAAAGAGCUCGUAGGCGGCUCGUUGCGUCGGCUGUGAAAACCCGCAGCUCAACUGUGGGCUUGCAGCCGAUACGGGCGGGCUGGAGUUCGGUAGGGGAGACUGGAAUUCCUGGUGUAGCGGUGAAAUGCGCAGAUAUCAGGAGGAAUACCGAUGGCGAAGGCAGGUCUCUGGGCUAUAACUGACGCUCAUGCACGAAAGCGUGGGGAGCAAACAGG
rnacentral:rRNA from 1 species